GGAGGGUGCAAGCGUUGUUCGGAAUUACUGGGCGUAAAGGGCGCGUAGGCGGUUUGAUAAGUCAGAUGUGAAAGCCCACGGCUUAACCGUGGAAGUGCAUUUGAAACUGUCAGACUUGAGUACCAGAGGGGAAAGUGGAAUUCCCGGUGUAGAGGUGAAAUUCGUAGAUAUCGGGAGGAAUACCGGUGGCGAAGGCGACUUUCUGGCUGGAUACUGACGCUGAGGCGCGAAAGCGUGGGGAGCAAACAGGAUUAGAUACCCUGGUAGUCCACGCUGUAAACGAUGUCAACUAGAUGUGGGGGGUGUUGAUCCCUUCUGUGUCGCAGCUAACGCAUUAAGUUGACCGCCUGGGGAGUACGGUCGCAAGAUUA
rnacentral:rRNA from 1 species